rnacentral:rRNA from 1 species
GAUGAACGCUGGCGGCGUGCCUAAUACAUGCAAGUCGAGCGAACGGACGAGAAGCUUGCUUCUCUGAUGUUAGCGGCGGACGGGUGAGUAACACGUGGAUAACCUACCUAUAAGACUGGGAUAACUUCGGGAAACCGGAGCUAAUACCGGAUAAUAUUUUGAACCGCAUGGUUCAAAAGUGAAAGACGGUCUUGCUGUCACUUAUAGAUGGAUCCGCGCUGCAUUAGCUAGUUGGUAAGGUAACGGCUUACCAAGGCAACGAUGCAUAGCCGACCUGAGAGGGUGAUCGGCCACACUGGAACUGAGACACGGUCCAGACUCCUACGGGAGGCAGCAGUAGGGAAGCUUCCGCAAUGGGCGAAAGCCUGACGGAGCAACGCCGCGUGAGUGAUGAAGGUCUUCGGAUCGUAAAACUCUGUUAUUAGGGAAGAACAUAUGUGUAAGUAACUGUGCACAUCUUGACGGUACCUAAUCAGAAAACCACGGCGAACUACGU